rnacentral:lncRNA from 1 species
GUCUCUAAAACCCAGAAAUCACCGACUGAUGAGAGAGAAUCUCAAUUCGAAAAACUCGAUUCUCUUCUCUACCUUAAGAGGCAACAGUCCGAUUUCAUUUGUUGAAUUUUCAAAGAAAAUUGUUUCUGAUCUUUGUGCUUCGCUCCUGGAACUAUCAUCUAGAAGAUGACGGAACCCUUCGUCGACGAGGGAAAAACGGAGGAUUCACUCAAGGAGGACGAAAUCGAAACGCUUCUGGCGGAUCCAAAAACCUGAAAAUCGUGAAGAAUUUUGAAACCCUUUGUGAUUCUUUUGUUUAUAUUUC